rnacentral:lncRNA from 1 species
GACCGCCCUCGAGCACGGAACUCAUAGCAAGUAUGAUCAUAUCCUUAACUCAGAGGAUUUAUAAGUUCAAUCUUGACUUUACACUAGCUCUAGUGUUCUUUCAUCACUUUAUAUUGUAAACUCAUGCAAUCACAUUCUUUACAUUUCUUCUUCUUUUGCUAACUCUAGCAAUUAUAUUCUUUAUUCCCCACAUUACUUUAACUUUAGACAUUGUCAUUUUCAUCAUUCUUUACAUUACCUUGUAUCUUUGCAUCACACUAACUCUAGUGUCUCUUUACUUUACAUUUUCCAAUGCCACUCGAUCUAUGUCAUUGUGCCACUCUGUUCUUUUGCUCACUUUGGGUGCUCACUUUUCUCUCAUGCAUACAUAUAGGGUUUUAACUUUCAUAAGGUUCUUAACCAUCACAUUAUGCAAGUUGUACUCACAAUCAUGCAUCAUCACAUUCUUUUCAUUACUUUACCCUAAAAUGCAUGCAACAAUA